UUACACAUGCAAGUCGACGGCAGCACGGAAGCAAUCCUGGUGGCGAGUGGCGAACGGUUAGUAAUAUAUCGGAACGUGCCCAGUCGUGGGGGAUAACGCAGCGAAAGCUGUGCUAAUACCGCAUACGAUCUAAGGAUGAAAGCGGGGGAUCGCAAGACCUCGCGCGAUUGGAGCGGGCGAUAUCAGAUUAGCUAGUUGGUGGGGUAAAAGCCCACCAAGGCGACGAUCUGUAGCUGGUCUGAGAGGACGACCAGCCACACUGGAACUGAGACACGGUCCAGACUCCUACGGGAGGCAGCAGUGGGGAAUUUUGGACAAUGGGCGCAAGCCUGAUCCAGCAAUGCCGCGUGCAGGAUGAAGGCCCUCGGGUUGUAAACUGCUUUUGUACGGAACGAAACGGCGAGCUCUAAUAAAGUUCGCUAAUGACGGUACCGUAAGAAUAAGCACCGGCUAACUACGUGCCAGCAGCCGCGGUAAUACGUAGGGUGCAAGCGUUAAUCGGAAUUACUGGGCGUAAAGCGUGCGCAGGCGGUGAUGUAAGACAGAUGUGAAAUCCCCGGGCUCAACCUGGGACCUGCAUUUGUGACUGCAUCGCUAGAGUACGGUAGAGGGGAUGGAAUUCCGC
rnacentral:rRNA from 1 species